CCCGCACAAGCGGUGGAGCAUGUGGUUUAAUUCGAUGAUACGCGAGGAACCUUACCUGGGCUCAAAUGUAUGUUGACGUAUUCUGAAAGGGAUACUUCUUCGGACAAUAUACAAGGUGCUGCAUGGUUGUCGUCAGCUCGUGCCGUGAGGUGUCGGGUUAAGUCCCAUAACGAGCGCAACCCUUGCCUUUAGUUGCCAGCAGUUCGGCUGGGCACUCUAAAGGGACUGCCGGUGUUAAACCGGAGGAAGGUGGGGAUGACGUCAAGUCCUCAUGGCCUUUAUGACCAGGGCUACACACGUACUACAAUGGCCGAUACAAAGGGCAGCGACACUGCGAGGUGAAGCCAAUCCCGUAAAAUCGGUCUCAGUCCGGAUUGGAGUCUGCAACUCGACUCCAUGAAGUUGGAAUCGCUAGUAAUCGUGGAUCAGCAUGCCACGGUGAAUACGUUCCCGGGCCUU
rnacentral:rRNA from 1 species